GUCUUAAACAGAGCUGACUUCCUAUCUCUUGGCCUGUCUACAGAAUUGGAAGCAACUGGAAAAGAUGCUUAUGUUGCAAAUGCUUAUGUGGUGCCCACAUGGCUACCUCCUCUUUCACAAGACCCUUUCCUGACUUUUCCAAAUGAUAUAGCAUCGAAAGAUGUUAUCUUCCUCCCCUCAUGGCAUCCAGGUCACUGGGCUUUGUGAGAAAAUUGCCU